GAUGAAGAACGGCAGUGAAAUGCGAUACGUAAUGUGAAUUGCAGAAUUCAGUGAAUCAUCGAAUCUUUGAACGCAAAUUGCGCUCUUUGGUAUUCCGAAGAGCAUGCUUGUUUGAGUAUCAGUAAACACCUCAACUUCUUUUUUUCUUGUGAAAAAAAGGAGCUGGAUUUGAGCAAACCCAACAUUUUUUUCUACAAAAAGUGGCGGGUUGCUUGAAAUGCAGGUGCAGCUGUAACAAGAACAGACUGAGCUAAAAGCAUAUCUAUUUGAUCCGUCUCGGCGGGCCAUCUCUAUUUGCUGCAGCUACUCUAAGGUCAUCUUGUCGAGCUGACUGAUGCAGGAUUUGUCAGGACGAAAGUUCUUUCAAAACUCGAUCUCAAAUCAAGUAAGACUACCCGCUGAACUUAAGCAUAUCAAUAAGCGGAGGA
rnacentral:misc_RNA from 1 species